UACAGAGGGUGCGAGCGUUGUCCGGAAUCACUGGGCGUAAAGGGCGCGUAGGCGGCCACCGCAAGUCGACUGUGAAAUCUCCGGGCUUAACCCGGAAAGGUCAGCCGAUACUGCGGGGCUAGAGUGCAGAAGGGGCAACCGGAAUUCUCGGUGUAGCGGUGAAAUGCGUAGAUAUCGAGAGGAACACCUGCGGCGAAGGCGGGUUGCUGGGCUGACACUGACGCUGAUGCGCGAAAGCUAGGGGAGCGAACGGG
rnacentral:rRNA from 1 species